rnacentral:rRNA from 1 species
UACAGAGGUCCCAAGCGUUAUCCGGAUUCACUGGGUUUAAAGGGUGCGUAGGUGGGUUUGUAAGUCAGAGGUGAAAUCCUGGAGCUCAACUCCAGAACUGCCUUUGAUACUGGAGAGCUUGAGUCCGGGAGAGGUGAGUGGAACUGCGAGUGUAGAGGUGAAAUUCGUAGAUAUUCGCAAGAACACCAGUGGCGAAGGCGGCUCACUGGCCCGGUACUGACGCUGAGGUGCGAAAGCGUGGGGAGCAAACAGG